CACGCCACGGUGAAUACGUUCCCGGGCCUUGUACACACCGCCCGUCAAGCCAUGGAAGUUGGGGGUACCCGAAGUCGCCUUUAAAAAGCGCCGAAAGGUAAAACCAGUGACUGGGGCU
rnacentral:rRNA from 1 species